rnacentral:lncRNA from 1 species
UAUAACGGGAAUAAGUCUACUUCAGUCACUAUACAGUACUAUAACGGGAAGAUAAGGUGCUAUAUCAGUCCAUAUAACGAGGAAUAAGGUGCUAUAUCAGCACUAUACAGUCAUUAUAUCAGUCACUAUAUCAGUCUAUAUCAGUCACUAUAUCAGUCUCUAUAACGAGGAAUAAGGUGCUAUAUCAGUCACUAUCAGUCACUAUAACGAGGAAUACAGUGCUAUAUCAGUCACUAUAUCCAGUCUCUAUAUCAGUCAUUAUAUCAGUCACUAACAGUUCUAUAUCAGGCCUAUAUCACUCUCUAUCAGUCUUAUAUCAGUUCAACUAUAACGAGGAAUAAGGUGCUAUAUCAGUCCAUCUAUCAGUCAUUAUCUGUCACUCAUAUCAGUCACUAUAUCCAGUCACAUAUCUCAUUAUUUAUCAGUCACUAUAUCAGUCCUUAUAUCAGUCAUUAUAUCAGUCACUAUACCGAGAAUAAGGUGCUAUAUCAGUCACUCAUAUCAGUCCCAUAUCAGUCACCAUAUCAGUCACUAUAUCACUCUUCUCAGUCAUUAUAUAAGUCACUAUCAGUCUCUAUCAGUCAUUAUAUCACUCUCUAUAUCAGUCUCUAUAUCAGUCACUUAUAACAGUCACUAUAUCAGUCACUAUAUCGUCUCUAUAUCAGUCUCUAUAUCAGUCACAAUCAGUCCCAAUCAGUCUAUAUAUCAGUCACUAUAUCAGUCUCUUAUCAGUCUCUAUAUCAGUCACUUUCAGUCACAUCCGUCUCUAUCCAGUACAAUCAUCUCUAUCAGCACUCAUCAGUCUACUAUUCAGUCAUCUAUAUCGGUCUCUAUAUCAAAUCAUUAUCAAUCUCUAUAUCAGUCACUAUAUCAGUCUCUAUCAGUUCACAUCCGUCUCUAUAUCAGUCACCAUAUCAGUCUCUAUAUCAGUCACUAUAUCAGUCAUUAUAUCAGUCACUAUAACGAGGAAUAAGGUGAUAUAUCAGUCUAU